UCUUUGUGAGCUCGCUACACGGUUUCUCUCCGUGAGAAGAGAAGCUGUUUGUGUUAGUAACGUUUGUGUUAUCGUUCGUGGACGGGAGAAAACAGCUUUGCUAGGAGCUUUAAACAAGGAUGCUCUUUACUCGAAAACGACGUGGGCUUAACUUUGGAUAUUGGAGCCUGUUUUUAAUCCUGACGUCGAAAAAACGAAGCUUAUCAGCAGCUUUCACCGUCUUCAUGUUUGCUGACGUGUGGGAUCAGGCACAAAGGAGCUGCUAGUAUGUUUUUAGAGCCUCUGCAUGUCGGGGAAGGAGGAAGAGGGCGACUUUACUUGGUGUCAGAGACAGAAAUGAGAAAAAGCUGAAAUGAGUGAGAAGGACGAUGAAGGAAACAUCUGUGCUGUGUCUGCUCUAGUUUCUACCAGAGCCAAAUGUCAUCGACUCCUCACUGAAGUCGUCCACCAGUCCAACCACUGGAAUCCAGCUGCUGCUCUCUAACUGGUCCACACAGCAGCUCAGAGCUGACACAUUCACUGUAAACACACUGGUUUAUAUUCUGUUUGUUCUCCUCAUGAAGGAAACCUCACACAACCACUGAGGGCAGAAAGUUCAAAUGGAGAGUUUUUGUUAUUUUCUUUUAUAAAGAAGCUGGAAAAAUUUAACUUAAACUAUUUUUACGUUUUUAUAUUCAAAAAACAGCAUUUUCUUCACCAGGCUUUUCAGAAUAAAAGCAUGACCAAGACAUGAUUUAUACAUAAACAAUAAUAAAUGUUAUGUAACUAAAAUGUAGGUGUAAUCCAUGUUUUCACGUCUUCAGUAACUUUGCUGUUAUUUAUGUUAUUUCUAAGUGUGCUGUCGUCUCCACAGCAGUGAUCUGGUUUCUCUGCAGGUUCAAUAAACUUUGGUCUCACUUGA